GCAGACCCGGAGAACUGAAACAUCUUAGUACCCGGAGGAAGAGAAAGAAAAUUCGAUUCCCUGAGUAGCGGCGAGCGAAACGGGAAGAGCCCAAACCAAUAAGCUUGCUUAUUGGGGUUGUAGGACACUCUAUACGGAGUUACAAAAGAAUAUAUUAAACGAAUCAUCUGGAAAGUUGAAUCAAAGAAGGUAAUAAUCCUGUAGUUGAAAAUAUAUUCUCUCUUGAGUGGAUCCUGAGUACGACGGAGCACGUGAAAUUCCGUCGGAAUCUGGGAGGACCAUCUCCUAAGGCU
rnacentral:rRNA from 1 species